GUAAAUUCAAAUCCAAAUCACAACCCCUUGAAAUGAAACUCACAAGGCGAAGCUCAACUACAAGUGACAAAUCCUUACUGACAGGGAAGAUCAACUUAUCAGAUUCCCAACAUACAGAUACAACCAACCAAAAGUGUUAUCACCUUGAUUUCCUUCGAUAAAUUCAAUUGAAGCAGCUCCCACCUGAUCAUACAAAUUCUUAGCAAAUACACAUUUCCAUUCAAGUCCCAGCUCUGGAUAGCUUUCAAAACACACAAAUUUGC
rnacentral:misc_RNA from 1 species